GGAAGUAAAAGUCGAAACUAGGUUUCCGUAGGUGAACCUGCGGAAGGAUCAUUAACGAGUUAGGGUCUUUUAGGCCCGACCUCCCAACCCUAUGUUUAUUGAACCUCUGUUGCUUCGGCGGACCCGUCUCACGGCCGCCGGAGGACCGCUGCGAGGCGUCCUCUGGCCAGCGUCCGCCGAUGGCCAACCCACUAAACUCUGAAUGAAUCGUGUCAUAUGUCUGAGUCUAUGAUUAAAUUAAAGCAAAACUUCCAACAACGGAUCUCUUGGUUCUG
rnacentral:misc_RNA from 1 species